CCUACGGGAGGCAGCAGUGAGGAAUAUUGGUCAAUGGGCGUAAGCCUGAACCAGCCAAGUCGCGUGAGGGAUGAAGGUUCUCUGGAUCGUAAACCUCUUUUAUAAGGGAAUAAAGUGUGGGACGUGUCCUAUUUUGUAUGUACCUUAUGAAUAAAGAUCGGCUAACUCCGUGCCAGCAGCCGCGGUAAUACAGAGAAUACGAGCGUUAUCCGGAUUUAUUGGGUUUAAAGGGUGCGUAGGCGGCCUUUUAAGUCAGAGGUGAAAGUGUUGGGCUCAACCAUAGAAUUGCCGUUGAAACUGGGGGGCUUGAGUAUGGUUGAGGCAGGCGGAAUGCGUGGUGUAGCGGUGAA
rnacentral:rRNA from 1 species